GGGCUAUUAGCUCAGUGGUAGAGCGCGCCCCUGAUAAUCGCGAGCCCAGCUGCGCCAGGGAAAAUCGUAGGAAGAAA
rnacentral:tRNA from 1 species